GCCCCACUGACAGCAGCAUGUCCGCUCUGUCGCCCUGCGCCUGUCAGCAGUCACGGGGAACCGGCCGGGACUCCUCCAGCUUAACUUCAUUAAUAGUCCGGUGCUGACUGCCCACAGGGUGUGUGCGUGCGCGCGCGCACUGCCAAGCCACAUUGCCAAACGGUCGGGCACGGGCACAUUCUGGUGACCUACUUAACUUCGAUGCAAAAGUUUCCCGCCUCACAAACAAUUUGCUCAAGAUCAGUGUUCAUUUUUGAACGCGUUUUGCAGCUGAAGCGCGCGCGGAGCCGAGGACCCAAAAGUAGCCUCCAUAGGCGUGGACAGCGGACACACAGGGGACACAGGGGACAACUACACUAGGGAGAAUCUGUAGAGUGGAAGUGACUAACGUGGCACCAGUUGCAGACCUCAGACCCACCUCUGAGGUGUGAUGUGAUGCAUCACAAUAAUAAUAAUAAUAAUAAUAAUAAUAAUAAUGACACUGGAGGCUGCAGUCCAGUCCAGCACCAUGGAGCAUGAUCUGAGGAUGGGCAUGUCUGUGUGGGCCAUUAUGGCCAUCGCUUGUAACUCUGCGGUGGGCGUCCUCAUCCUCAUCUUGUUCGUCAUCCUCUACAAGGCCUGCAAGGUGCCAUCACACCAAGACAAAGUGCCAGUUUUCACAGCAAUGCCGGAGAAGAAGAAGGCUAAACAGAAGUACCUGCUGACUGCAGCCUGAUCGUCAGAGCCACACGGAAUCUGCAGGCGCAGAAUUCAGCCGAAUUGUCUGAAGAAUUUCUGUAGAUUUUCCCGCAGAUUUUAAACAAUUUAAAAAACAAUUCAUUCUGGAUCGCUGCUGAAAACAAAAACCACUCCGCAGAUUCUGUUUGGGUCUGCUGAUCAUGUAGGACAUGGACUUGAGAUGUAGACAUAAUUCAAAUGUGUCCAUCUACAGUCCACAAGUUGAGCUACAGAGUGUUAGAGGACAAGCUGGACUCUGAACUUUGAGCGAUAUUCUAUAUUUAAUUUCCUCCACAAUUCCGUCAUUAUGUUCACUCAGUAACUCCUGUUGUCUUACAUGAACAUGCAUGUUCACAUUUCUCCACCAUCAGCCCCUCAUCUACGCCAUGCAGUGGAGCUUAAAGUGAGCUGUAGCUGCAUUAAGACUUGUGGCAACGCCAACAACCACAACAACAACAAGUGGGCCCAAUCCUCUUAUCUCUGCUGUGCGUCGCUGGGACUGUCCAUCUGUCAGCCUGUUUGCUUUGCUCUACACACGUAGACCAUGAUCUCCUCCCGUAUGACACAACUGAGAGGAUGCGGAGGAGAAACUGCAAAGACAGAAUGGAUUGUAAUGGGAGAGUUUGGGCUGACGCUGUUGGUUGAGAGUUACAAUAACAUUUUAGAGGUAAAGAGAAAAAGUAGCUGACAAACAGCUUGGCGCCUUGGUGCCAACUGCAGCACUUGUGACGGCAGCGACAGAGCUGCCAAAACCAAAAGCCUGAAAGAGUCAGGAAGGAGAGAGAGAUGCUGCUGGAGGGACUGGGAGAGGGAGACAGACUGAGAUAAAGGACAGAUAUUUGGAGGGGAUGAUAAAGAGCAGGGGAAGAAUGGGAGAGGGGAUGCUUUCAUGUGUUGUUUAUAGAAAAGGGAGCCCGAGGCUCCUGUUUGACAGUCUCCUUAUUUGACACACAAGCUUCCCCCGAUCCAACCGCCCUGGGAUUAAAAGCAGCUGCAAAAUAAAAAUGUUACUUGUG